GAUCUAGCCAUGAGCAGGUUGAAGUUGGGGUAAUACCCAAUGGAGGACCGAACCAGGGUACUAUGUAACGUGCUUGGAUGACUUGUGGCUAGCGGUGAAAUUCCAAUCGAACUCGGAUAUAGCUGGUUCUCCCCGAAAUAGGUUUAGGCCUAGCCUUGAAUUAUUUCAUCCUGGAGGUAGAGCACUGAAUGUGGAAUGGCCGCGUCUAGCGGUACUGACUGCAAUCAACCUCCGAAUGCCAGGAAUUGUAGAUUCAGGAGUCAGUGUAUGAGGUGAUAACGUCCAUACGCGAGAGGAAAACAAUCCAGACCAUCAACUAAGGUCCCUAAAUAUAUGUUAAGUGGGAAAGGAUGUGGAGACGCACGAACAGCUAGGAGGUUGGCUUAGAAGCAGCCAUCCUUUAAAGAGUGCGUAAUAGCUCACUAGUCGAGUAUCUCUGCGCCGAAAAUGUACCGGGGCUAAACAUAUUACCGAAGUUAUGGAUUUAUAAUUUAUUAUAAAUGGUAGGGGAGCGUUCUAAGGGCGCUGAAGGUAGAUCGUGAGGACUACUGGAGCGCUUAGAAGUGAGAAUGCCGGUGUGAGUAACGUAAGGUAGGUGAGAAUCCUACCCACUAUUUGACCAAGGUUUCCAGGGUCAAGUUCGUCUUCCCUGGGUUAGUCGGGACCUAAGGCGAGGCUGAAAAGCGUAGUCGAUGGACAACAGGUUUAUAUUCCUGUACUGCUUAUAGGACUGAUGGAGUGACGGAGAAAGCUAGGAAGAGCCAGUUAUUGGAUUCUGGUCUAAGCGUUUAGGUUGAUGCACAGGAAAAUCCGUGAUAUCGAUAAGACUGAAGCGUGAUGGCGACGUGGUCUACGGACCGCUAAGUCUUCUGAAGCUAUGCUUCCAAGAAAAACUUCUAAAGAUAUGUUAUAAGUACCCGUACCUAGAACCAACACAGGUGGUCAAGGAGAGAAUCCUAAGGUGAGCGAGAGAACUAUGGUUAAGGAACUCGGCAAAAUUACCCCGUAACUUCGGAAUAAGGGGAGGUUUCUUCGGAAACCCGCAGUGAAUAGGUCCAGGCAACUGUUUACCAAAAACACAGGUCUCUGCUAAAGCGUAAGCUGAUGUAUAGGGGCUGACGCCUGCCCAGUGCUGGAAGGUUAAGAUGAUUUGUUAGGUGGACGAAAGUCGAUAACACCGAAGCUUUGAUUUGAAGCCCCAGUGAACGGCGGCGAUAACUAUAAUCGUCCAAAGGUAGCGAAAUUCCUUGUCAGGUAAGUUCUG
rnacentral:rRNA from 1 species